AUUCAGAAGACAACUGAUUGGUGCUAUGUUUUGUAUCCAUUGCCAUCAAUGCCCUUUACUGUACAGCUGUCGUCAGAAUGGAUCAAGUUUUCAUCUUUUCAAAACACUGCUUCUUCUUAAUCCUUGGAAAAUUUUUACAAUGUAUAAAAUUUCAUUACACAAACACUGUGUAGUGAGACUUUAGAAUGUAGCUCCUUUUUUUUCCUACGGCAGCAUUUUUUUUCCUUGUAACCAAAAGAAUUUUUUUUAAAUACUUAUCUUAUUUUCAAGUUGUAAGAACAUUGCUGUGGAAAUGAUGAUCAAUAUAACCGGCCUAUGAGGUUAAGGAUCAUGUUGAAACUGUUAACGUUAUGCAAUAGGUAACUCUUCCUCAAUGAUGUCCAAUUUUUUUUUUCCUGUGUGUGUUGAAAGUUCAUUCUGUUACUUCUACCUCGACCGUUUGUUAACUGUGUAAAGAAUAUGUAUAGUUCAACAGUUCAAAUCAAAAUGUACCGCCUAGAAGUACAAUCGCUGAUUGACAAUAUAGCUAUUACCUAGUAGUUGAUUAUUGUUUCCUUGUCCCGAAUAGUUGUUGAUGAAAUGAGAUUAUUUUUGUAAUAUAUGGAGUGCUCUGACAAUGUGGUCGUUUCUUGGAAGCAUCCUUUUAUUUUAUGAACUCUGGGAAUGGGUAGUUUGUUCCAGAAAAAAAAAUUGAUUU
rnacentral:misc_RNA from 1 species